CAAUAAAGACACGUAGAAGUUUGUCAAAUGAAAUAAACGAAGGCCGAAGAAAAUGGAAUCCAAUGAUAAUAGCAUUGGAAGGUGGAGGUAUAUUGGAUAGAAGUGCUUUACUGACUCUCCUGAGGAGAAGUCCCAGAAGCUGCUAAUGACUCUGGAGGUACUGAACUUGAUAUAUUUGAUACACAAGGCACCCUUCAGGGGACAAGUGAGAGAGGAUAAAACAUAAGUGUAGCAGAGAUCUCUUUCCAGAUUGAAUUCAGGAUGGUCCAGCUGAACAAGAAGUUGAAGUUUAACUCAGACUAUUUGCAAUGAGAAAGUAUGAGUUAGUUUUGCAACCAAGUUUCAAAUCAGUCAGUUGAUGUUUAAUAGAAUGAAAUCAGAUCAUUGAAUAUUUAUUAUCUAAUAUUGUAAAUAGAAGCAUGUUUCCUAAGCAGGAAGGCUGAAAUAAAUGAGUAUGCAUUUUAAGUUUCUCAUUACAGGUGUGAAAUUUUAGCCUUGGUUGUUAUGUAGAUCAUUAAAUGUGAGACUUUUUCACUUUUAUUUAUGUUAAUAAAAGAGUUUGCAUGCCAAUUGUGUAAGGAUAAUGGUUCUCAGUUCUAUCACAUCCUUUUGUUAACCCUCAACCUUUUGGUGUGUCGUAUAACUGAGUAAUUUCAUGAAAUUUUCAGUUAGGGAACUUGGCUUGACUAAGUUGCUAAGUUUGGGGUGGGUCUUAUAACCAAGUUUGCCUUAAAACCAAGAAAGUAUGGUAACUGAAAAAAAUGCAUGUGUGCAUGGUAGAAUUAUUGUAAGUACAGUACCACCUAGUGACAAAAAUAAAUGAUUUCCUGUAUGCAUGAAUGUUUAGGAGAAGUUAUGGUGGUAACUGACCCUAUUUUUGCUAGGAUGCAUAAGGUUUGAUGAUUGAAAUGUGUAUCUUUUAGCUUUAAAACUUUCAACUUCUAUUAAUUGUAACUGUUGAGCAGAUCUUUUUCUCUGUACCUUAAGCCCUAAAAAGUUCAAGCAGGUGAGACUUUAACCUGACUUCCUCUGUUUGGAAUUGUGUCAUUAUGUAAUUUUGUUGUAUAAGUUACCACAUUGGAAUGUGUAAUAUUAUCUAGAUUGCAUUAAAUACUCUGGCCCAAGCUGUCAAUAGUGCUUGAUGUUUCUUACAAAUACCCAGGUAACCUCUGUUUGGAACUGUGUCAUUACAUAAUUUUGUUGUGUUAGUUACCACAUUGUAAUGUGUAAUAUUAUUUAGAUUGCAUUAAAUGCUCCAUUAACUUCA